rnacentral:lncRNA from 1 species
AGAAAGUAAAUCAAGCUAGUAUAGAAACAUGCUAAAAAAAGAAAAAAUUCUAUAUUAACUUAUACAGAACCCUAGUUAAAAGGGUCACAAUACUUUGAAAGCAAGAAAAAACAAAUGGGGAAACUUCUAGAAACUUGCUCAGCAAGUUCAAACACAUAGAUCCAAGGCGGAUCUGAAAAAUAAAUUGAAAGAACCUUAUAUUUAGGGUUUCGAAUGACCCAGAAAAGGUGAGAAAGGAUUUGAAAACUCCAAAUCUAAGCAUGAGAGUCACAAAUUUGACCCGAAUGGCCAUGGUUGGCCGGAUAAAGGUUGAAGAUGACCAAAGAAAAACCAUCAAGUAAAGGCCUUCUUAAGAACCCUUCAAGAUCUGGUCAUAGGACCUCAGAGGUGAGCAUAUAGAGUCCAUGGGAGACCGAUAUGGGGCUUAGAUGAGUCUGAUGAGCCAUAGAUUAGGGUUUCAGGUGAGGCAGCGGCUAGGGUUUGAGAGAUGAGUUGAGAGAGAACGAGAGAGAUGCGGG